rnacentral:misc_RNA from 1 species
UUCUGAAAGGCCUUGGCCUGAUCCUGGCUCACUUCGCUUCACAGCAACUUUCAUUCCAUUCCUUAGAGUUCCUCUAAAGACAAGCCCAAAUCCACCCUUACCAACUAUCAUUUUUACAUCAAAGUUGUUGGUCGCGAACUGAAUUUCAGCAAAAGAUAUCUUUAAUCCUAGGUUUAAGUCAGGUACACGGGAGCCUAUUACGCUUCCCUCGGGCAUCCUAUUGUGAGAACUUCCCCCUCUACGUACAGGCCUUGGGGACCACUCCCAAUUUUCGACUGUUUUUGGUUUCCUGCAUCUCAAGCACAGGCAUAUAACAACUGCCAAAAUGCAGCUGAGACCUAUACCUCCAAUAACUGAACCAACAACAAUAAAGAUAGGAGUCUUG